rnacentral:rRNA from 1 species
CUUUUAUGGAGAGUUUGAUCCUGGCUCAGGACGAACGCUGGCGGCGUGCCUAAUACAUGCAAGUCGAGCGCGGGAAGCGAGUGGAUCCCUUCGGGGUGAAGCUCGUGGAACGAGCGGCGGACGGGUGAGUAACACGUGGGCAACCUGCCUGUAAGACCGGAAUAACCCCGGGAAACUGGGGCUAAU